rnacentral:lncRNA from 10 species
UAUUUCUAGCAUCUGUUGAAAAAUCAGAAGAUUUAGCAAUACUGAGCCCACCACCCCAGAUGAAAAAAAUCCUCCUGGUUCCAGGAUGAAGCAACUGCUUCAUCAGAAGCCCUUCAGAAGAACACACAGCACCUUGAAACAUCAUCCCUGUGCUGAGGCCUUCGCAGUCAGAGCUGCCUCUCCCUGGUUCCUGGAGAGCUCACUUCGGAGUGCUGCAUGUCCCUGCAUGUCGAGGGAAGGAAAGAGAAAUGAUGCAGAACCCAACACAGAAGUGGAGCUCUCUGCAAAUUCACACCCCUCACCCCUCAUCAUCCAGUUUCUCUGAGUCUCCAGGAGGUGUCUCCUACAUGCCCAGGUCCAGUGAGUAAUCACAUGUCUUCCACUGCUUCUCCCUCCUCUCCAUUCCUGCUUUCUCUCUGCCAGGAGGCCGUGGGUCUGGCGGGC